CUGGUUUCUCAUGACGAUCAAUGUUGCUUUAUAGAAUAUGGAUUCUUAGGGAAAUCACAAGGUUCUAAAGUAGUUGUCCAAGGAACUUUGCAAAUUUUCCCACAAUCCAUGUUCUGCUAUAUAUUGGUACAAAAAUUCCACUGAGAUUAUCUGGGUGCUACAACGAUGGAAGAUAUAAUCUUAACUUAUUUUGAAAGGUAGAAAAGUGUAUCUCACAAUUUCUGUUAUUGCAUCGAAGACGCCCACUAGCAAAAAUGCAUGAGAGGCUCUUUUCCCAUCCUUUUAAAGAAUAUCGUGAAGUUCUUGGCACUGUGGUGCUAUACUCUGGGAGGCUAAGGCCAAAAGAUCACCGUUCAAAGCCAGGCUGACCAACUUGGUAGUUUAGGGAGCCCCC
rnacentral:lncRNA from 1 species